UACGUAGGGGGCAAGCGUUGUCCGGAAUUAUUGGGCGUAAAGAGCGUGUAGGCGGUAAAUUAAGUUGGAUGUAAAAGGCAUGGGCUCAACCUGUGUAAGCAUCCAAAACUGAUAUACUUGAGUGCAGGAGAGGAAAGUGGAAUUCCCGGUGUAGCGGUGGAAUGCGUAGAGAUCGGGAGGAACACCAGUGGCGAAGGCGACUUUCUGGCCUGUAACUGACGCUGAGACGCGAAAGCGUGGGUAGCAAACAGG
rnacentral:rRNA from 1 species